GAGGCUCCUUUCUAAGUCAAUGAGGUAAAUUUCACUUGUAGGUCCAGAAUUGAAGGUGGACUUCCGUCGAGAGAAAGACAUCAGAAUUUUGAAUUGGUUGUGAAUUGGGUUUUUGAAAUUGCCAUUUUUGAAGUUUGAUGUUUUUAAAUUGAGAGGCUGUAAAGGCAAUUUCAUGGAUUUGCAUAAAUCUCUUGUUCUUUGAUUGAAGAGUUUGGAUAUUGGUAUUACAUUCUAUUUUUACAUUAUAUAAUUUGUAAUUAGAACUUAAUUGUAGUGAUCUUUGUGUCUCUGCAGCUGCCUAUGUAAAUGUCUCGUAUCGUUUAUGAGUUUUGGCAUAGAAG
rnacentral:misc_RNA from 1 species